rnacentral:rRNA from 2 species
ACGAGCUUCCGUUGAAUGACGUGCUUGCACUGAUUUUAACAAUGAAGCGAGUGGCGAACUGGUGAGUAACACGUGGGAAAUCUGCCCAGAAGCAGGGGAUAACACUUGGAAACAGGUGCUAAUACCGUAUAACAACAAAAUCCGCAUGGAUUUUGUUUGAAAGGUGGCUUCGGCUAUCACUUCUGGAUGAUCCCGCGGCGUAUUAGUUAGUUGGUGAGGUAAAGGCCCACCAAGACGAUGAUACGUAGCCGACCUGAGAGGGUAAUCGGCCACAUUGGGACUGAGACACGGCCCAAACUCCUACGGGAGGCAGCAGUAGGGAAUCUUCCACAAUGGACGAAAGUCUGAUGGAGCAAUGCCGCGUGAGUGAAGAAGGGUUUCGGCUCGUAAAACUCUGUUGUUAAAGAAGAACACCUUUGAGAGUAACUGUUCAAGGGUUGACGGUAUUUAACCAGAAAGCCACGGCUAACUACGUGCCAGCAGCCGCGGUAAUACGUAGGUGGCAAGCGUUGUCCGGAUUUAUUGGGCGUAAAGCGAGUGCAGGCGGUUUUUUAAGUCUGAUGUGAAAGCCUUCGGCUUAACCGGAGAAGUGCAUCGGAAACUGGGAGACUUGAGUGCAGAAGAGGACAGUGGAACUCCAUGUGUAGCGGUGGAAUGCGUAGAUAUAUGGAAGAACACCAGUGGCGAAGGCGGCUGUCUAGUCUGUAACUGACGCUGAGGCUCGAAAGCAUGGGUAGCGAACAGGAUUAGAUACCCUGGUAGUCCAUGCCGUAAACGAUGAGUGCUAAGUGUUGGAGGGUUUCCGCCCUUCAGUGCUGCAGCUAACGCAUUAAGCACUCCGCCUGGGGAGUACGACCGCAAGGUUGAAACUCAAAGGAAUUGACGGGGGCCCGCACAAGCGGUGGAGCAUGUGGUUUAAUUCAAAGCUACGCGAAGAACCUUACCAGGUCUUGACAUCUUCUGCCAAUCUUAGAGAUAAGACGUUC